GGAAAUGACGCCCGCGGUGGGAAGCCGAGCGUCGGGUGGGGGACCCGAGCGGUCCCUGUGCUCGCCGGCUCCCUGCGGCUGUGGGCUCCCGCGGAGUGCGAACCCGGCUCCCCAAAGCCGGAGGCGCCGCAGGACCGCCUUUGAGGCGGCCCGAGAAGGGCCAGGCUUCGGAGCCUGCCACCUGACGAAGGCGGGGCGUGGGGGGACGCGUCCAGAAGCGUAGGUCUGCGACGAGAGCUGCCCCCGCGGCACUAAGGCUGGCUCCGGAGGCGCCCGGCUGCGGGGGAAGCAGUAGCCGCUUCUCCUCGGCCUUCAGGAGGGAACGGAGGGGAUGGCUGUGCGGAGACAGCCCUCGGGCCCGGCUGCAGAAGGAGCUGGCCUGGCCGCUCCCCAUCAGGCGAGGUCCACCCGGAGCAGCCUGGCCUUGCGGAUGGCAGGACGUCCCUGUCGGGCGAGCCUGUGGUCAGAUGAUAGCAGUCCAUCGACCUCAACAGCCUGCCUCUACCCAGAAGUCAUUAGAGAUGAAAGUUCUUGAGCAGCGUUGAUGUGCAGAGAGUGCUCCGCCGGAUCCCCGAGUCCGUCUGGCCCUUGCUUCUGCGCGGGCGCUGUUCUGGGACACUGCCUCGUUCCUGAUCGUAAAGGGAAAGCUCUCAUUUCUUCACCUUGGAGAAGGAUGUUAGCUCUGGGCUCAUAUUCCAUCUCAAAUUAUGUUCAGUUCAUGUGGUGUAUCCCACUAAUCCAGUCAUCUCUGAGGUGUGUUGAUGAUGAUGAAUAUCCCGGCAAACCUGGCAAGACUGUGUCCCAGAUCUACCAGUUAACGUGCUUUAAGAGGAAGAACCUGAACAGAGACAUGAUCCUCACCUGUCAUGUCCUGGCCACCAUCCUGGUGUACUCUUCCCCGGGUGGAAAGAGAACUGCCUGGAGAGGCCUGCGUCCUCGUCCGUGCAGCCUCCAAAGACCGCAGGAGUCAGACGUGCUGGGAGCCCAAACACAAGCCCAGUGAGUCCCGGGGUGAGCUGCAGCCUCGGCCUACUUUCUCCUGGGUAGAGUUUUCGCGGUCAGCGCCCUUCUGCUCUACUCUGCUUCAACUUUGUGUUGCUGACCUUCCCGCAGUUACUCCCCGAGACCCAGAAACAGUAUGUUUCCUGUGCUGGUGUCUUCACUGUCACAGGCAAGGAGAGGCGGGAAUGAACUCGGAAGGUCUUGGCUUUGGGUUAGGGUGGGAUUUUCGCUUGAUCUGCUUUUUAAUCACUGUUCAGGCAGGUACAGAGGAAGAGGAAAGUCUAGGAGAAACACAUCGUCUCAAAGGAGGCAGAAGGAAAGUGGGGGGCAGUAGCAAUGGCCCGAUUCUGGUUCAUCGAUCACGACCCUGCCGUGAAACCUUGGAGGACUGGCGGAGGCUAAUCGGGAGACCUGCAUCUCCCCUUUCUUGGGUCCACAGGAAACAGAAGACCACAUGUAGGACUGGUUACAUAAUUUGGGCGGCCCGGUGCGAAAUGAAGGUGUGGAGUCUCCUGGUCGAAAAUUAUUAGCAAUUUCAAGAUGCUGACAGCAGAGCUUUAAAGCAAGCGUGAGCUCCUCCGAGUGCAGGCCCCGUGUUUGCUGCCCAAGUCGCACGUCCUGGAAGUGAGCUCGGACAGUGUGUUAUGUGGUAUGUGAUAACAACCACGUGUGUGGGUGACCCACGCUGUAGUCUCUGGGCCCAUUACACUCUUUAAAAUGAGAGGUUGUCCUAGAAUCAUGAGUGUAGUUAUUUUGUUAGGAGCCCUCUGUCUUCACAGUUCCCAGCGUUUGGAAGCUGUUGGUGUUAAAAUCUCGACCUCGCCACAUGGAUGCCAUCUCAUUGGAAGACACAGAGCUGGGCCUGGAACCACGCAGAAGGUGUGAGUGUGGUGCGGCAGACUCCACGCCCUAACUGGGGAUUUCUCAGCCAUUCACCCCAAAAACGGUGUCACUGAUUUGGGAAGGCCCUGACUUCUUCCCCUUGUUCUGUUCAUUUCUCUUUCUGGAGCCUUGGGCCACAGGUCUUUUUCGGGGCAGAGGAAGGGAAGGGGUAGCAUUGUGUGUGCAGGGCUAGCAGAGAGGCGGCCUUGCCUUUUGGCUCCUGGAUUACGCAGGUGCCUGUUCGCCGUUAUCUCUGCUUCUCUGUGCUCGCUGGGGGCCUGCCUCACGGGGGUGUCUCCUUGUCCUAAACAAAGUCCUUUCCCCAUCUGUGAAGUUUAGGUUUUAAUAAAAACUCUCUUCCCUCUGGAA